AUCCGGCUGACGAGUCUCAAAUAGGACGAAACGCCCGACAUGGAU
rnacentral:hammerhead_ribozyme from 1 species